rnacentral:rRNA from 1 species
UACAGAGGGUGCAAGCGUUGUUCGGAAUUAUUGGGCGUAAAGCGCGUGUAGGCGGCUUUGCAAGUCGGGUGUGGAAUCCCUCGGCUCAACCGAGGAAGUGCGCCCGAAACUGCUCUGCUCGAGUACCGGAGAGGAUGGCGGAAUGCCCCAAGUAGAGGUGAAAUUCGUAGAUAUGGGGCGGAACACCGGUGGCGAAGGCGGCCAUCUGGACGGAUACUGACGCUGAGACGCGAAAGCGUGGGUAGCAAACAGG